rnacentral:ncRNA from 2 species
ACGUAUCAUCAGGGGAGCUAAUGUGCUGAGAAAGGUUAGACCUGACCCUUAACUUGAUCUGGAUAAUGCCAGCGAAGGAAAGAUGAGCAGAGCCCGGG